AUUGAACACUGGCGGCAUGCUUAACACAUGCAAGUCGAACGGUAGCAGACCUAGCUUGCUAGGUGCUGACGAGUGGCGGACGGGUGAGUAACGCGUGGGAAUCUGCCCAGUAGCGGGGGACAACUCGGGGAAACUCGAGCUAAUACCGCAUACGCCCUACGGGGAAAGGCUUCGGCCACUAUUGGAUGAGCCCGCGUCGGAUUAGCUUGUUGGUGGGGUAAUGGCCUACCAAGGCGACGAUCCGUAGCUGGUCUGAGAGGAUGAUCAGCCACACUGGGACUGAGACACGGCCCAGACUCCUACGGGAGGCAGCAGUGGGGAAUAUUGGACAAUGGGCGAAAGCCUGAUCCAGCAAUGCCGCGUGUGUGAAGAAGGCCUGCGGGUUGUAAAGCACUUUCAGUAGGGAAGAUUAUGACGGUACCUACAGAAGAAGCACCGGCUAACUCCGUGCCAGCAGCCGCGGUAAUGUAGACG
rnacentral:rRNA from 1 species